rnacentral:tRNA from 1 species
GCCGCCUUGGCUCAAUGGUAGAGCAACUGAUUUGUAAUCAGUAGGU